rnacentral:tRNA from 1 species
GCUUUCAUUGCUCAGUUCGUUAGAGCAACAGUUUAGUAAGCGAGAAGGUCAUGAGUUCAACUCUCAUUGAAAACA